UACAGAGGGGGCAAGCGUUGUUCGGAAUUACUGGGCGUAAAGGGCGCGUAGGCGGCCUUCUAAGUCGAACGUGAAAUCCCCGGGCUCAACCCGGGAACUGCGUCCGAUACUGGAAGGCUUGAAUUCGGGAGAGGGAUGCAGAAUUCCAGGUGUAGCGGUGAAAUGCGUAGAUAUCAGGAGGAAUACCGAUGGCGAAGGCAGGUCUCUGGGCUGACACUGACGCUCGUGCACGAAAGCGUGGGGAGCAAACAGG
rnacentral:rRNA from 1 species